GUAGAGCUGUGCUCCAUAGGGUUUUCUUCGACUCGUGGUGACCCUGUAUGGGUCAGAGUAGAGCUGUGCUCCAUAGGGUUUUCUUCGACUCGUGGUGACCCUGUGUGGGUCAGAGUAGAGCUGUGCUCCAUAGGGUUUUCCACAGCUGAUGUUUUAGAAGUAGAUCACCGGGCCUUUCUUCUGGGCAGGCUUGAACCUCUGACCCUUUGGUUAGCAGCUGAGCAUGUUAACCAUUUGCACCACACAGGGACUCCGUUUCCUCAAGUAGAACAGGCUAAUAGACUUCUUUAGUUUGUGCUCUCAUCCCAUUCUGCAGGGAAACCAGCUCCCACAUGAUUCAUUCCAUGGCUGAUACCUUCCUUUGUGACGUCAAACUGUAACACGGUCAUCACACCCUAAGUCUGUAAGUUCCAAUGGGGCAAAGUAAUUCAGCUUUGGAAACAAUGAGAUCUAGAGAUGACUGAGGGGCAGAAUUCUCCUAAGAGGCAAUGAAAUACACACUCUAAUGACUUAGAGUUUCCCAGUGGCUCUUUCCUUAACAUUUGAUAAUAUCUUUCCUUUUGGGGGUCAGUGAUACCCAGUCUUUUCCUCCUGACCCUGUGACCUAGCUCUGUUUAGGUUUACUCCCACAACCAUAUUGACCUUACCCUUCUAAUUUCUUGCAAGUUUUUUUUUAAUUGUGCUUUAGUUGAAAUUUUACAGAGCAAAUUACUUUCUCAUUAAACAAUUAAUACACACGUUGUUUUGUGACAUUGGUUGCCAACCCCGUGACAUGUCAACACUCUCCCUUUCUCGACCUUGUUGUGAGGUGCUGCAUAGCAACCCUAAAUACAACAGAACGAAACACUCCCAGGCCUGUGCCAUCCUCACAACCCAUUUUCAUUCAUCCAGCUUUCCUGUCCCCUCCUGCCUUCUCUGGAAACCCUGGUAGCAUAGUGGUUAAGUGCUACAGCUGCUAACCAAAAGGUCGGCAGCUCGAAUCCACCAGGCACUCCUUGAAAACUCUAUGGGGCGGUUCUACUCUGUCCUAUAGUGUCGCUAUGAGUCAGAAUCGACUCAACGGCAGUGGGUCCUUGCCCCUGGGCUGGUAUGCUCAUUGAGUCUCACAUUUCGUGGUUAAGCUAUGUGUAUGUGUUUGUUUUAUGGGCCUGUCUAAUCUUUGGCUGAAGGGUGAACCUCAGGAGUGACUUCAGUACUGAGUUAAGAGGGUGUCUGGGGCCUGUACUCUCGGGGUUUCUCCAGUCUCUGUCAGACCAGUAAACGUGGUCUUUUUUGUGAAUUAGAAUUUUCUUCCACAUUUUUCUCCAGCUCUGUCCAGGACCCUUUAUUGUAAUCCCUGUCAGAACAGUUGGUGGUGAUAGCUGGGCACCAUCUGGUUGUCCUGUACUCAGUCUGGUGGAGGCUGUGGUAGUUGUGGUCUGUUAGGCUUUUGAGCUAAUCUUUCCCUUGUGUCUUUGAUUUUCUUCAUUCUCCCUUGCUUCAGAUGGAGUGGGACCAGUGGAGUAUCUUAGAUGGCUACUCACAAGCUUUUAAGACCACAGAUGCUACUCACCAAAGUAGAAUGUAGAACAUAUUAUUUAUAAACUAUGUUAUGCCAAUUGAGCUAGAUGUCCCCUGAGACCAUGGUCCCCAGCCCUCGGCCCAGUAAUUCAUUCCUUCAGGGAGUUUGAAUGUAUCUAUGAAGCCUGCAAGCUUUUAUUUUAUUUUUUUUCAACAGCUUCAUUGAGAUAUAACACCACCUCUCUGUCAGUUUGUUGGCUGUGGUGGCUUGUGUGUUGCUGUCACUCUGGAAGCUACGCCACCAGGACUUCAAAUAUCAGUAGAGCCACCCAUAGUGGACAGGUUUCAAACUAAUACAGACUAGGAAUAAAGGCCUGAGGAUCAAUUUCUAAAAAUUAGCUAAUGAAAACUCAAUGGAUCAUAACAGAACAUUAUCCAGCUUGUUUGCUUUGGACAUAUCAUCAGGAGGGAUCAAUCACUAGAGGAGGACAUCAUGUUCGGUGAAGUAGAGCGCCAGCGAGGGUGUGGGAGACCCUUGGUGAGAUGAACAGGCACGAUAGCCACAACAAUGGACUCCAACAUGCUGGAGAUCAUGAGGAUGACGCAGGAGUGGGCGACAUUUUGUUCUGUUGUACAUAAGGCUUCUGCGAGUCAUAGGUGACAGCCGCUAUCUAUACCUAUUGAGAUAUAAUUCACGUACCCUACAAUUCACCCAUUUAAAGGGUACAAUUCACUGGUUUUUAGUAUAUUCACAGAUAUGUACAACCAUCACCACAGUGAAUUUUGGACCAUUUUCAUCACCCUCAAAAGAAAUCCCAUACCCUUUAACUUUCCCCACAUUACUCUCAGCCCUAAGCAACUGCUAAUCUUCUUAAAAAAAAAAAAAAAACUCUGAAAGCUUCAUGAACCAGCACUGUGACACAAAUGUCCAUCUCUCUGCCACUAUUUUUAGUUAGCUCUUCACCAGACCCUCACCUUAACGUGCGUUCUCCCCCGUACGUAGCCAGGGCCAGCGCACUAGGGAGUGAACGACCCACUGAAAUGCAGCACCUGAGACAGAAGGGGAGAAGUCAGGUUACCACAGAGUUUUCUAAGGUGAACAGAAAACUUGAUCCCUCAUUCGGAGACCAAACUCAGCCUUAAAUCCAUUCACUGAUAUCAAAAUGCAGCGAUUCGUCUUUUCACCUCUUGUGAACUUCAGAAACAUUCAUUCUUCAUGGUACCUUUGCUCUGUGGUUUUCUUUAAUUUACAUCCCUCUUCUACCCAGCUUGCCUUUGGGAUUUCUCAUUUUUAUUCACCGCAUUCCUCAGGGAAAAAUGCAUAAUCCUUCUUCUGGCUUCUGCUGUCAGUCAGUUUGAAUAUUGGUUGUCUUCUCAGCCCUAAACGUCAUCAAGGCCUUCUCUCUUCAGCUUUGUUCUUGGUUUUGGAAGAACAGUGAAUCAAUGUUAUUUAUCUUCACCAGAGGCAUAUCUUUACUACUUUAUAGUAGCAUUAAUCUGUCAAAUCAUUCCAAAAGAUAUAAGGGACUAUAUAUUACAUAAACUGAACCUUCUUCUCUCUUAAAGGGUAUUGGCCAUUCUCUUAUCAAAACAUCUCAACUUAUGGCCAGAAUACAUCCAAGAAGGGAAGCCACUUACAGCCACCCCCGUCCUACCUAGGAGGAUGAACAAAGCUGAGGCUCUGGUGGUGGAGGAGCUGGUGUGCUUACCUGGGCUUCAUGUCCAGGCUACAGAAGCACCACAUUUACUUAAGGAUAUCCUUGAACUACGUUUACCAACAGAGGAAGCAGGAGUAGGUUCUCAUCCAUAUUCCUGGAGCCCUGGGACUCCUCAGAAUUACCUCAGGAGUCUGGGGAGCCCUGGUGGUGCAGUGGUUAAGAGCUCGGCUGCUAACCAAAAUGUUGGCAGUUAGAAUCCACCAGGUGCUCCUUGGAAACCUCAUGGGGCAGUUCUACUCUGUCCUGUAGGGUUGGUAUGAGCUGGAAUUGACUCGACAUCAAUGGGUUUGGUUUGGUUUGGGUUCUGGGGAGAGGGGAAUGGGUGUGAUUCCCAACUCCCUGCAGUUUCCGCCUUGGGCUUCUGUCUUCCUAUCUACUUUGCAAAUUGUGUUCCACGUAAGAUUCAGUUGAAGGACAGAUUCCAAAUGCUUAAUAAAAUGUUUGAAAACCACUUGCGGCUCCAGCCUGAGUUCGUUGCCCCACGGGGCUGAGGUUGCAGUUACAGACCCAAUAGCUCCACCUUUCCUGACUGGGAGACACUGCCAGCAGGGUAUUGCUCAUUCGACAUUGCUCUUUGUCCUGGCUAGGACACAGUGUGUCCCACCUAGAGAAACUGUGGGGGAAGAGCCACACCAUUUCAGAGCAGAAAACUGAACCAGUGUGAGGGGGAUUUAUGCAGAGAAAAUGUUUUCCUCAAUUUUUCUUUCCAAAAUAUCCGUGUUUGUGUGUGUGGUGUGUGCGUAUGUGAGAGAGACAGAGAGAGAGGUGUGUGUGAGUAAUGAAAGAUGUGAGCAAUCUGAGGCAUAGUGUUCCAAGAUGGUGAGGUAAUAGAUCAAUUGAUUAGACAAGCAAGCAGGAAAUUCAAAUUAACAAACGCUUAUUACACGCGCAAAUGUGCAAAACAGUAUAUGAAAAGGAUUUAUGAAAAUAUUAUUUGGAUAUUUCAGCGUUUGGUUUAAUACCAAUAAAAUGGGUGGAAUUUCACUAGCUAGUUCUCCAUUCAAACGGGAACGAGAGGGUAGUUGUCCACCAACAGGCUGAGUCAGCCAAGGCCACUGGGGAGAUGAUGGCCAAGUAAAUUCAUGACAUAACUCUUGGCAGAUGGAAAUCAACUGGGUGGCUCCAGAAGGUGGUGCCAGGUUGUGCUUUGUGAUUUGUGGCGUCUCUCUUUUCUCUAAAUGAGCUCUUCAGGAUGAACACUGGAAAACUGAAGCACUCUUUGGUGGUGACAGACUCCCUUGGACAUGCUCUCGUUGUUGUGUGCUGUCAAUUCUGACUCAUUAUGACUCUGUAGGGCAGAGUAGACUUGCCUCAUAAGAGUUUCCUAGGCUGUAGUCUUUACAGAAGCAGAUCACCAGGUCUUUUUUCCCUUGAAGUGGCUGAUGGGUUUGAACUACAGGCCUUUCAGUUAGCAGCCGAGUGCUCAAUGAUUGUAUCACCAGGGAUCCUUCUGGACAUAUUGGGGCUUCAUAAACACCUACGCAGGCCUCUCAGUACUCACAUUAGGAUUUCAUUGGCAUUACUGACCCACCCUCAGCUGUGGGUAAUGGUCAACACCAGCAAGUGGGGACAAAACCUAAAAGGAAGAGCUUUGUGCCUAUCCGCAAUGGUGACCAUCAGGAAGCUCUCAAGGACAGAGCCCACAGAGCCUCGGGGAGGAUUUUCUACCUCUUUGGU